rnacentral:rRNA from 1 species
GAUCUGGUUCAGGAUGAACGCUAGCUACAGGCUUAACACAUGCAAGUCGAGGGGCAGCAUUAAGUUAGCUUGCUAACUUAGAUGGCGACCGGCGCACGGGUGAGUAACGCGUAUCCAACCUUCCCCUUACUCAGGGAUAGCCCGGUGAAAACCGGAUUAACACCUGAUAGUUUCACUAGAUGGCAUCUGACGGUGAAUAAAGGUUUACGGUAAGGGAUGGGGGAUGCGUCUGAUUAGCUUGUUGGCGGGGUAACGGCCCACCAAGGCAACGAUCAGUAGGGGUUCUGAGAGGAAGGUCCCCCACAUUGGAACUGAGACACGGUCCAAACUCCUACGGGAGGCAGCAGUGAGGAAUAUUGGUCAAUGGGCGAGAGCCUGAACCAGCCAAGUAGCGUGCAGGAUGACGGCCCUAUGGGUUGUAAACUGCUUUUGUACGGGAAUAAAGUCAUCCACGUGUGGGUGUUUGCAUGUACCGUAAGAAUAAGGACCGGCUAAUUCCGUGCCAGCCGCUGC